rnacentral:rRNA from 1 species
GGUGGUUUGUCGCGUUGUUCGUGAAAACCUAAGGCUUAACCUUGGGCGUGCGGGCGAUACGGGCAGACUUGAGUACUGCAGGGGAGACUGGAAUUCCUGGUGUAGCGGUGGAAUGCGCAGAUAUCAGGAGGAACACCGGUGGCGAAGGCGGGUCUCUGGGCAGUAACUGACGCUGAGGAGCGAAAGCGUGGGGAGCGAACAGGAUUAGAUACCCUGGUAGUCCACGCCGUAAACGGUGGGUACUAGGUGUGGGUUUCCUUCCUUGGGAUCCGUGCCGUAGCUAACGCAUUAAGUACCCCGCCUGGGGAGUACGGCCGCAAGGCUAAAACUCAAAGGAAUUGACGGGGGCCCGCACAAGCGGCGGAGCAUGUGGAUUAAUUCGAUGCAACGCGAAGAACCUUACCUGGGUUUGACAUGCACAGGACGCCGGCAGAGAUGUCGGUUCCCUUGUGGCCUGUGUGCAGGUGGUGCAU